UUUACCUUGUCCCUUUUGAAUUGCAGGCUCCACACUGACUCGUUCAGGUAGUUCCAGCAGACCUAGAAAGUCAAUCUUCAUCUCUUCUUGAGACAAACGAAAGAGGCUAAAAGAAAAACUYGCAAAAUCUUUGUUGACCCUUCGUAGUGAGGAUGCUGGUGGGACCCCAUCUCUGGAUUUAGGAAAUAGCCUGCCUUUAGAAAAUAGUUACUCCUGAGCUUUCCAGACGCGGCUCAGGAUGAGGUGGGAGCCCCGUCCUGGCUUUGGGAAGCCCUCGAGGUCUGACCCGGCUCUUYGCUGGCGCUCCUGGCCCGCCGGCACACCGGCUCCCCGAGGCAGGGUUAUCGCCUGUUCGCGCGGCGCUUGGAUGUGCGCAGAGUAUUACAGGAUGAACUAAAAUAUCCUGUGUUAAAAAGACCGGGUGAAAUUAGCUUCUCCGCAUGGGAAGUGCUCUGUACCGCCAGGGUCCCGGCGCCAUUCCCGCAGUGGGAGGAGCGGAGCUCCCGGCCUCCCUGGGACUCGGUCCCGGAUACGGCCCGAGGGAAAACAGAAAUAUGCCCAUGGCACCUUGAAACGGCGUGCCUCUCGCCCUCGGGGCCUUUGGGUUGGCAAUCCUUGCCAGGGGUCUCCGCUCGGACGUGGCACGCUGUGAGAGCUGGGAGCUUCGCUGAAAAGGACCCAUGGAAGAGGUCGGUAUGGAAAACUUAUACGGGCGCYGCUCUGGGCCAGAUCUGGAAGAAACUGUUAACUCUGUGAACAAAGUAUUGUCUGAGCGCGCUUUUCUGACGCUAUAUACGAAUGAAGCCUUGGGAUUUCUUGUGCUCUGGUUCUAAUGCAAGGUUUAAAAAGAGGUCUGUCUUAAAAUACACGUUUUGCUGUCCAGGCAAAAAUGAAUGAUCUGCAUAUUUCAGUGGUAAUGUUGAUGCUCUGGGAGGGCUCCUGCUGCUGGGCUUUCACCAGGCUGCUGUGUUUAGGGUUCAGGCUGCAUCUGUCUGGAUUUUUCACCUUCCUUCAUGGAUCCGACUCUAUUCAUAGUCCUUUCAAUAACAGUCCUAUAUACGUUUUUCACUGCUAUUUUCACAUUGGCAUUUAAUCCAUCAGCAUCUUCAGUUCAGGUCUUGUACUUCUUGCAGGUCCGGGUUUGAUUUUAACGCCCCAGCGCAGGCCUUUUGUACUUCCCUGCAGCCCAAGCGGCCGCGUUGGGCCCGGCCCCGCGGCAGCGCGGAGAGGUCGCCCCAGCCCGGCCCGGGAGCCCCGGCGCAGCGUAGGGGGGCGCCGGGCACUGGGGGGCCGGGGCAGGAUGCCCUCAUUCGCUCUCCAAGUAGCAUUUUGCAUUUAGGUUUCGCUGACAGGGAGUACCCUGCACCUAAGCAGAAAAAAAUAAAAUUUGCAUGUAUGGGGGUUUGCA
ensembl:lncRNA